rnacentral:rRNA from 1 species
GGUUGAUCCUGCCGGACCCGACUGCUAUCAGAGUGGGACUAAGCCAUGCGAGUCAACAUAGCAAUAUGUGGCAUACGGCUCAGUAACACGUAGUCAACAUGCCCAGGGGACGUGGAUAACCUCGGGAAACUGAGGAUAAACCGCGAUAGGUCAUCACUUCUGGAAUGGGUAAUGACUUAAAUCUAUAUGGCCCCUGGAUUGGACUGCGGCCGAUCAGGCUGUUGGUGAGGUAAUGGCCCACCAAACCUGUAACCCGGUACGGGCUCUGAGAGGAGGAGCCCGGAGAUGGGCACUGAGACAAGGGCCCAGGCCCUAUGGGGCGCAGCAGGCGCGAAACCUCUGCAAUAGGCGAAAGCUUGACAGGGUUACUCUGAGUGAUUUCCGUUAAGGAGAUCUUUUGGCACCUCUAAAAAUGGUGCAGAAUAAGGGGUGGGCAAGUCUGGUGUCAGCCGCCGCGGUAAUACCAGCACCCCGAGUGGUCGGGACGUUUAUUGGGCCUAAAGCAUCCGUAGCCGGUUCUACAAGUCUUCCGUUAAAUCCACCUGCUUAACAGAUGGGCUGCGGAAGAUACUAUAGAGCUAGGAGGCGGGAGAGGCAAGCGGUACUCGAUGGGUAGGGGUAAAAUCCGUUGAUCCAUUGAAGACCACCAGUGGCGAAGGCGGCUUGCCAGAACGCGCUCGACGGUGAGGGAUGAAAGCUGGGGGAGCAAACCGGAUUAGAUACCCGGGUAGUCCCAGCUGUAAACGAUGCAGACUCGGUGAUGAGUUGGCUUAUUGCUAACUCAGUGCCGCAGGGAAGCCGUUAAGUUUGCCGCCUGGGGAGUACGGUCGCAAGACUGAAACUUAAAGGAAUUGGCGGGGGAGCACCACAAGGGGUGAAGCCUGCGGUUCAAUUGGAGUCAACGCCGGAAAUCUUACCGGGGGCGACAGCAGAGUGAAGGUCAAGCUGAAGACUUUACCAGACAAGCUGAGAGGAGGUGCAUGGCCGUCGCCAGCUCGUGCCGUGAGGUGUCCUGUUAAGUCAGGUAACGAGCGAGACCCA